rnacentral:tRNA from 1 species
GCCCCUUUAGUACAAUGUACAAGUGACCUCCACUCACUAAGUCUCAUAAAACCAUGAGAAGGGACA